rnacentral:lncRNA from 1 species
GGAAAAAAGUACAUAUGAACAACCGUAUGGGGUAUUGGAGUGUGCCAGCCAAGCAAGUGAAGCCCGCGCUCUCCUCGUUCCUCUCUGCUUUUGCUGACCUUUUCCUUUUCUUCUUUCGUAGUAUCUUCUUCUUCCACAGAUCUCUUCAAGUUAGACCGGACGGUCCACGGGUACUACUCAGUUGUGAGAGUGAUUUCGUACCUUUUGAUCUUGCAGUAGAGCGGUACUAGAAUGGGAUUAGGAUCUCCUUUAAUUGGGAUGUGGGACGGUGUGAUCCUCCCGGCUUUGGUUUGCUGCUUUUCUUCUUUGCCUCGGAAUCCCCCGAUUGGUUGCUGCUUUGGGCUCUGAGAUGCGGUCUCGGAACGAACCAUGGAUGGAUGGAUGGGGUCGCUGCUGUUGCGGUUGUUGCAGGGCCCGCGUCAGAUCAGAUCAAGAGAGGAAAAGGGGGAGUCACCUGUGACGGGGACACUGUUGCGUGCGCUUUGGACCACGCCGAUGCCGAUGCCGAUGCCAAUGCCGUGCUCCA